rnacentral:tRNA from 6 species
GGGGUGGUAGUUCAGCUCGGUUAGAACGCUGGCCUGUCAAGCCAGAGGUCACGGGUUCGAGUCCCGUCCACCCCGCCA